UACGUAGGGGGCUAGCGUUGUCCGGAAUCAUUGGGCGUAAAGCGCGCGUAGGCGGCCCGGUAAGUCCGCUGUAAAAGUCAAAGGCUCAACCUUUGAAUGUCAGUGGAUACUGCCGGGCUAGAGUCCGGAAGAGGCGAGUGGAACUCCUGGUGUAGCGGUGGAAUGCGCAGAUAUCAGGAAGAACACCGACGGCGAAGGCAGCUCGCUGGGACGGUACUGACGCUGAGGAGCGAAAGCAUGGGGAGCGAACAGG
rnacentral:rRNA from 1 species